rnacentral:ncRNA from 1 species
AGUAUGUGGUCGUAGACCCGAAACCAGGUGAUCUACCCAUGUCCAGGGUGAAGUCCAGGUAACACUGGAUGGAGGCCCGAACCCACGCACGUUGAAAAGUGCGGGGAUGAGGUGUGGGUAGCGGAGAAAUUCCAAUCGAACUUGGAGAUAGCUGGUUCUCUCCGAAAUAGCUUUAGGGCUAGCCUCACGUUGUAAGAGUCUUGGAGGUAGAGCACUGUUUGGACUAGGGGCCCUCAUCGGGUUACCGAAUUCAGACAAACUCC